GAGCCGUUCGAGACUAGGACGUUGAUAGGUUGGAUGUGGAAGCAUAGUGAUAUGUGAAGCUGACCAAUACUAAUUGCUCGUGAGGCUUGACUAU
rnacentral:rRNA from 1 species